GGGGAGUCCACCUGGCAGUCCUACGNGAAGUACCUUUGAAGGAGUUUUCGGACAACUGAUAGGACUACUUAGUGGCGGACGGGUGAGUAACGCGUGAGUAACCUGCCUUGGAGUGGGGAAUAACAGCUGGAAACAGCUGCUAAUACCGCAUAAUGCAGUUGGGUCGCAUGGCUCUGACUGCCAAAGAUUUAUCGCUCUGAGAUGGACUCGCGUCUGAUUAGCUAGUUGGCGGGGUAACGGCCCACCAAGGCGACGAUCAGUAGCCGGACUGAGAGGUUGGCCGGCCACAUUGGGACUGAGACACGGCCCAGACUCCUACGGGAGGCAGCAGUGGGGAAUAUUGGGCAAUGGGCGCAAGCCUGACCCAGCAACGCCGCGUGAAGGAAGAAGGCUUUCGGGUUGUAAACUUCUUCUCUCAGGGACGAAGAAAGUGACGGUACCUGAGGAAUAAGCCACGGCUAACUACGUGCCAGCAGCCGCGGUAAUACGUAGGUGGCAAGCGUUAUCCGGAUUUACUGGGUGUAAAGGGAGCGUAGACGGCAGCACAAGUCUGGAGUGAAAUCCCGGGGCUUAACCCCGGAACUGCUUUGGAAACUGUGCGGCUGGAGUGCAGGAGGGGUAAGCGGAAUUCCUAGUGUAGCGGUGAAAUGCGUAAAUAUUAGGAGGAACACCGGUGGCGAAGGCGGCUUACUGGACUGUAACUGACGUUGAGGCUCGAAAGCGUGGGGAGCAAACAGGAUUAGAUACCCUGCUAGUCCACGCCGUAAACGAUGAUUACUAGGUGUCGGGGGAUCAAGGGC
rnacentral:rRNA from 1 species